CGUUGCAAAGUGUGGUACAUAUCAGUGUCCAGGGUGGUAAAUAGGGGUGUGUUUGUCCUGCUACAGCAUUGGUUAGCCUUGUUAAUGUCCAGUCACGUGGUGUCAUACAGACGGCCAUGUUUCCGAAACACAAACAACAAGAAGAGCAGCGACUAAGAUCCAGCACAUACAUAUUGAUACGCAGCAGCGACCGUUGGAAGAGAGGGGAAAUAUAAUAAAUAAUAUACAUAGCACGCCUUUCUGAAAGUACGAUUCUGUCGAAUGAAUACGUUUACAGUGUUUAGAGAGACCAAUGCAUGCGAUAUAUUGGCUAUAGACACAUCGUGCAGACAAGCAGUCUGGUAGCUAUAAACAGAGAAGUGGUGGGGGACAGGAAGUAAAGGAGUUAUCUGGAGGGUCUCCGUCAAUCCGCAUUUCAGUUGAAGCGAGAGAAAAGGGCUCGGAGGAGAGAGAAAGGAGAAGAGGAGUACGAGUCGCAUCUGCUCUUGGCAGCUGUUCCAGCAGCCCGUUUCAUCGUUUUGGCUGUUAUUUUGUUCCUGAAUUACCUUUUUUGAUGACUCAAUUCAUAUUUUUAACUUUAAUGUGAGAUAUAACUGCUGUUUAAAAAAAAAAAAAAAAAAAAAAAAAAAA